GCUUCUCCUUCUCAAAAACAAAAUUCUCUCUGUCACGCUUCUUUCUCUUUAUCACGCUUCGGACUAUAUAUCACGCUUCCGAUUCGGUUUAUCUAAAGAACCCAAAAUUCGGCUUCUUCUAUAUUAGCUUCUUCUCUUACUAAUCAACCACAAGAACCCAGGGUAGCUAAGCAAAACCCAAAGAAGAAACAGUAUCGGCCGUUCUCUGCCUGGCGACGAUAUUUGAAAUAGUUGUCAAUGUCAGAGCUAGGCAGGAAAAAAUAUCUCUAUGGAUGAAGAAUGCUACAAAUGAUGCUGCACAGGCAUCUGGCAUGUUUUGUUCACAUGUACUCUUUUGGACCCACCAGAUGACUUAACUUCUUCUACUUCGUACGGAUGCUAAAUUAUAAAUACAACUUUGGUUCUGUAUAUAUGAGUAUAAAACCUACUUGCAUUUGUGCUCAAGAUUUUAGAGAUGAAUUGAGAAAGAAGAGUUAAACAUGAUGGGCGGGUCAAGAUUUUGGUCUAAUAUGUUAUGAAAUGGAUGAAUUGCAGACAUUUUAGUAAUAGCCUUGUUUUAUGUUGGGAUUGAGAUACGAUGAGUAGAAGAUAUUAACUGUGGUAACAUAGGGCAAUCUACUUAGACAAGCUAACAUGUGCUCCCUUCUAUUUGUUUGUUUAUUGUAUUGAUAGACGUGUUGUAAUUUUUUAUGGUCGAUACUGUUUUUGGGUGAAUGCAAAAAUGUAAUUGAUAUUUAAGUAAAAUUCAAUGACUUGAA